rnacentral:rRNA from 1 species
UGAGUAACACGUAUGCAAUCCACCUGUAACAGGGGGAGUAACCCGGAGAAAUCCGGACUAAUACCCAUAAUAUGGGCGCUCCGCAUGGAGAGUCCAUUAAAGAGAGCAAUCUUGGUUACAGACGAGCAUGCGCUCCAUUAGCCAGUUGGCGGGGUAACGGCCCACCAAGGCGACGAUGGAUAGGGGUUCUGAGAGGAAGGUCCCCCACAUUGGAACUGAGACACGGUCCAA